UACGUAGGGUCCGAGCGUUGUCCGGAGUUACUGGGCGUAAAGGGCGCGCAGGCGGCGGUGCUGGCCCGGCGUGAAAGCCCCCGGCUCAACCGGGGAGGGUCGUCGGGGACCGCACCGCUUGAGGGCGGUAGGGGCCGGUGGAAUGCCUGGUGUAGUGGUGAAAUGCGUAGAGAUCAGGCAGAACACCUGGGGCGAAGGCGGCCGGCUGGGCCGACCCUGACGCUGAGGGACGAAAGCUAGGGGAGCGAAUGGG
rnacentral:rRNA from 1 species